rnacentral:rRNA from 1 species
GGUGAACCUGCGGAAGGACAUUG